rnacentral:lncRNA from 1 species
UUUGGCGUCUACAAACUAGUGUAACUCAGUCAUAUUCGGAAUGUAUGUUCCUGUCCCAUGUCAGGAGCCUGCAUUUCAGUGGUUUUCGUUUAUCUAUGUGUUACAUAUUUGUGUUUCGUUCAUUUUUAAAAUGUAAAUAACCGUGAUAAUAAGAAAAACAAAUUAGCUGGAGAAUUUGGUGGGUACACGUUAGCAGCUUGGGAAAAUGAGCCAUUCUUAGAAUAAAGAGGUACACGUAGAAACUGUUACAUUAUGUAUAUGAUAAGAGGUGUGUAUAUGAACAUACAAGGUUUAUUUUAAUAUGUAGUUAAGAUUAUUAUUUCUAAAAUAUCUUUAUAGUU